ACAGGCAGCCCAGACUCCGCGAUGGUCUGGUUCCACAGCCCAAGGCUUCUCAACCUGCAGCUGCACCAGAGCCGCCUGGAGGCCCAGCCUGGACCUCCGCCCACCCCAGUUCUGCCUCAGCCGGUGCAGGCAACCCAACCUCCACCAGGUCCACCUGGAGCCCGGCCCUGAGCUCACCAGAGCAUCAGCCUCCUCCCAGCUACCCCUGCAGGUUACAUGUCUUGCCUUAAAAUGGACCACCUCUGGCUUUAUUUCUACGUAGUGGGCAUGGCCUGACACCACAUGAAGCAUGGACAUCGUUGGCUUCCUGCUCUCUGCUUCUGCUUUUGCCACAGUGACAAAGGUACGACUCUGGUUAAUUGCACUCCUGAGUACAGCUUCCCAUGGCUCCCUCUCUCCCAGAGCCCUUUGCCUCCAGCUCCCUCCUCAGCAACCACCCACCUCCCUGAAUAGUGGGAGGGUCAGAGAUCUGUCUCUACUCGAUCUAACUUUCAAGAGCCCGAGAGGCCCAAAUGGGAAGCAUCUCAUAGUCUUUACUGCUGGCAAGGUGAUCUUGGGCAAGACAUUGGGCUUCUCUGUGCAUCCGUUUCCCAUCUGUCAGAUGGGGGUGAUGCCCCUCACCCAACCUUCACUAGUCCAUUAGAUGAAUACGUUCAGGUCUGAGGGGCACUGGGGAAACUGGGAAGACAGACCCAGCGGGAAUUAGACCACUCUCUCAUGCCUACACAAAAAUAAACUCAAAGUGAAAGACUUAAAUGUAAGACCUGAAACCAUCAAACUCCACAAGAAAGCCAGGCAGUACACUCUCUGACAUGGCUCUGUGGAUGUGUCUUCUCAGGCAAAGACAACAAAAGCAAAAAUAAACCAGUGGGAAUACAUCAAACUGAAAAGCUUUUGCACCUCAAAGUAAAGUAUUGUGAAAUCAAAACAAAAAAGCAACCUACUGCAUCAAAGAAGAUGUUUGCAAAUGACAUAUUCAACAAGAGUUAAUGUCCAAAAUCUA